rnacentral:lncRNA from 1 species
GGUAUAUUGGGCAGGAGAGGGUGGUGAGAAAGACGGUGCUGAAUUAGUGCUGUGCAGGGUGGUGGGUGAUGCUUGUUGCUCAGGUCUUAAGCAUAUCCAUGUAGCAGAAUGAUGCUGCUGUUGAUAGGAAUCAGUAAAUCAGGAAGAGAAGCAAGUGUUUAAGUUUUUUAAUGGUUCUGGAAUUUUGGUUAUACUGAAUUCAAUUUGAGAGCGCACAUUUAGAAUCCGGGAAGUACAGAAAGAGCCAGAGAAUGAGUUGGGAGAAGUCUGAGAGGUUGGAGGAGCAUCCAGAUGGUAUUGGAAAUGGGGAGGGGAGGAUUUCAAGUCAGCACAUGGCCGUCCUUGCCUCUGCAAGUGAAGGUGACAACUUCGAGAGUUUCCUAUUGCCCUGGGGUGUGUGAACUCACAGCUUUUGCUGGGGAACUGCUGGCCUCGUCUGCUCUGCUCCACUGGGAUCCCAGUGAAGGACUCACAGGCGACGGUGUGAAAUGCGACCAGUCAACUCUCAGCUAACUCGCUUCUUGUACAUCACCCUAAAAAUAAGGAAAAGCAGCUGCGGGAGAGAUUUCAUCAAUCAUGCAACCACUGCUCUGCUUUCUAGUCCUGAAACCAAAUUCACAGGAGAAUCUAAUAAAUGACCUCAAUGC